UAAUUAAAAAAUGAUGGGAACUUCAUUCUGAACUCAGAAAUGUUUAUGUUCAAGUUUCUCAACCUGUCAUCACCAUGUCAGCUCUUGG
rnacentral:snoRNA from 1 species